rnacentral:sRNA from 1 species
AAAUGAGUUAGAAAAAUAAUACAAAACCAUGAACUCUUGCAGCAUUUUGUCUAUAAAAAUACAAUGUUUUCCUUUUCGUGCUAGUAUUAAUAAGAAUACAAUAGGAUCAGCCUCUAUGAGCCCCCCCUUCCCAAAUCUUAGCAGUAGCAGCACAAAGCAGCAGAACCUUUCAGGAAAGCAGUCUAGUGAAGAACAUUUGAAGAACCUUAAAGAUGUCCAAGCCCCUCGUCUGGCAGUCCUGACAAAGACACCUGUGCCACAAUCUAGGCAGCUUCCUAUCCAAAGAAGACUGUCCCCUCAAAGGGGAAAUACAGUUAGACAGUGAACAACUAAGGAUCGGUUAAACAAAUAUGGUACAGUUGCGUGGAAUGCCUCAGUCUUUAAGCUGUCUCAGUUGAAGGAAAUUUAGCAACAUAGAUGAUGUUUCCAAAGGUAAUAAUAUCAAGGGAGGAAAAAGAGACUGUAGUAGCAUACAGUGAGAACAGCAGUUGUUCAAACACAUGCAUGUAAAACACUAAUGCUAGUACAAUGCCUCUUCAUGGCAAGAUCGUAAGUCUUCUUUUCUCUAGACCACUAAACACUUUUCCAUCAGAUAGCGUUCCUCAGGGAGAGUAAGACAAACACAUACACAGCAGGGGGAAAGGUUUUGCUUUUUAUGAUGAGCGAGGUAGGCUGAAGAAAAAGACUCCACCAGUGGCAGAGAUGAGGCAAGAUCUCAAACAUUCACGAAGCCAGGCAGAGCAAGCCAGCGGGGAGAGGAAAACCGGACUAGAAAAGACAGUCCCAGCCGGGCAGAGGAAAUGAGGAAGGCUGCACGGAGUUCAGAGGGACGGGCCUGCAUCAGAGCCUCAAAGUGAAGAGAGGGAAUCAAGGCUGCACGAAUAUGCCAGGGGGAACACUCAAGCAGGGAUAGAGGAAGCAAGACUACGGCUGUUCAGAGAGCCAGUAAGCUCCAGAUAGCCAAAGGUUAAGACUGGAUCACCAGUUGAUAUUCUGUGUCAGGGGAAGAAGCCGGCACAUGAUGUCAAAGGUCAAAGUCAUAAAGAUUCUUGUGGGCUACGUUUCCAAAAGUAUAAAAGUGCAGUGAAUUUUCAAAGUAUAAAACGUGCCUUCAUCAUAGAAAACUCCAAUGCCACAGGAAAAAAAAUAAAUAACCGCCACCCAAAGAUGGCCGCCAUUAACAGUUCCUUUCGUUCUCUUUUCUGGCCUUGCCUUUCUUUCAGUGCUGUCUGCUUUGCUCUCGUAGGCUGUGCUCCUACGGCUCACAUCAUCCAGAAUCCUGCUUUCCUUGCUUUGUACUGCAGAAGAAGCAUGCUCCCCUAGUGUCCCAGCAUUGAACACUGCCAGUGUUCUCCAGGGCAGUGUGACCCAAGCUGCACGCUAGGUAGAGAAAUUUGACAGUGGGGAGAGCUGAGAAAGGAAGAUGCUCAGGGUAGAGAGGCCAAAACAAGCCAAGGUACAAACAAGGGACGUAGCCACGUGGGCAGAAUACUCUGCAAGCAUUCGGUGGGCUUUGGGUUCAACCCCCAGGAGUGCAGAAACUGGGUGUGGUGGCUCAAGCCUGUAUCCCUAGUGCCUGGAGGUGGAGGAAGGAUGAGCAGACAUUCAAGGUCAUCUUUGACUACCCGGUAAGGUCAAGGCUAGAGGGGUCUGAGUUGGGAGCUGACGUCUCCAGGGAAAGGGAGCUUUGGCUUCUAUCUAUUCAGGGAGGGGAUAGUUUGGGAUAAAUGAAACAUUGAUUAAAAAAAAAAAACAAAGAGAGAGGGGUGCAUUGGGGCUGGAGAGGUGGCUCAGCAGUUAAAAGCACUGGCUGCUCUUCCAGAGGACCCAAGUUCAAAUUACAGCAUCCACACGAAGGCUCACGACAUUCUGGGAUCCACUGUCUUCCUCUAGCCUCCGUGGGCAUUGGACGCACGUGGUACGCCAGAUACCACACACAUGCGAAACACACCAUACACAUAACAAAAUAGAUAAAUAAACGUUAAAGGAAAAAAAAAAAGAUCAGGUUUGCUAGAAGCCAAUGGGAGAAAUUCAGUGGAGGGUAGGGAAGCCAGGAUCGGGUGCUGUGGGAGACAUUGGCCUCUUUGCCCACAGGGGACCUCACAGAAAGAUCGGGUACAAGAGAGGGCAGCCUUGGGGGCUCAGCAGAGGUGCAGGGUGAAGGCCAUUAUCUCAGGGUCUUCAAGAGACUUGGGAGCCAAGGCUAAGAAUAGCCACAGCAUGGAGAGGGGGAAGGGAGAGAGAAGAGAGUAAGGCCCCCACAGAACUAUGCCAUCCACCACAACAGCCACAUAUGGCCAUGGGCACUUGAAUAACUUGUACCUCUGGGUAUUUUGUGUUACAUGUUUGCUUCCUUAGCUGAUGAGAAAGCUAACACAGUGCCCGUGGCUCUCCUUAAGUUCUUGCUGGACAGUAUUGCUGCUGAACAGAGAGAAAGCCGGCGGAGGGACAGACCAAAAGCUGACUGGCAGAAUAGUACCCUAGUCGGUGACUAGUGGCCCACUGUCAGGACACAGAGUGGCUGCCUCCCUCCAUCCCUAGGGACCAUUUCUGAAGGCCCAGAUCCCACCUGUCUGAUUCUGAGCAGUCUUCAGAGGGCAACGUUAAUGGCAGCUCUCUUUGCAGCUUACAGAACAGCAAAUGAAGCGGUAGAAAGGGGAACUGGUGGCUAGGGGCCUAAAGAUCGAGGUUAGACCUAGGGGUCUAGCCUAAUCAGGCAGGGACAUGUGUGAUGACAGAAGUCUUCAAGCUUAUGUAGAUACAUUACUAAGCUAAACACCAGCUUCUCUAAUGUGCUGCAAAGUGGGAGUGUUUGUGGCAGUGUCUGAAUUUAGACCCAUGGUGGGGAAGGGACAUUGAAGCCUUCUGGAGGCCACUGUGUCUAAGCUUGGAUCUGAAAAUAAUGAACCCUGUGGCUCUGGGCAAGCCCCUUUCCAUGGUAAACAUUGGCUUCCAUGGGCAUAAAGGAAAAGUGUAGGGAAUCCUCAAAGGACUUUGCCACCUGGGAAAAAUCUACCUGGGCCUCUGACCAUGCAGGAAGGCAGAUUGCAGUCUAUUCAUAUGAUAAAAUACAAGAUGUUACUUAUAUAGGAUCCUCUGAAACCCCGAGUUUCAAAUUGCCUGUGCUCUACCCCUGAUGGCUCCCCAGUGCACCACUGUAUUGUAGCACAAUGCCACAGCCCACACCCACCUGGCCCAUCCUGGAUCUGUGGGGAAUCCCAGAGGAAGCCCAAGCCCUUCAGAAUCAAUGCUAAGCCAAGACUCUACUUUACCACCCCGAAGUUGUGGGAAUCACGAAGAUGGGGCAGUACAGAAAAGCAAAUUCCCACAUCAGAUAGGGUUUGCGGGAGGCGCUGUGUGAAUGAGAAGCUCUGGGGCUGAGAGGCGCCUUGGAAAGGCUGCACAGCAGCCUCGCCCACCCACCAACGGCUUCUGCAGCUCCCUGACCUCUGGCAGAAGGAAGAGUUUGCUCUGUGGCCUGGCAAGAAGGUUUGUGGGAGAGAAGUUUAUUUAUAAUCCAAGUGCAAUAAAGUUUCUCUCUUCCAAAAAAUCUCAACUUGGAGAACAAUUAUCCUCUCCCAGGCCCCGCUUCCUCCUCCUGCUUCCACGGAGUCAGACAAGCGUUCAUUGUUCUGUGUGAGCAGUGGUGACAGCUGAGGGUGAUGGGGGCGGUGGGGGUGGAGGAAAAGGGUUCAGGGGAGGGAAACGCAGCCCCACCUAAACGCCAAGUUCCUGCUUCCAUCCCACAGGUGAAGGGCAGCCCUUUCUAAGCUUCCCCAUGCAUUCCUAACUUUUCGCCCACCUCUAGACACCUACAUUCCUUCCUCCCCAUCCCCUCACCUCAAGGGACGGCAAGAGUUGUUUUCUCAUACAAGCUCAAGCUAGCUUCAGAUUUAUCCAGUAGCGAAAGAUGAAUUACUGAUUCCCCUGCCUCUACUUCCAAGGGCUGAGGAUACAAGCAUACGUCAUUACCCAGAGGCGAUGUAGGCACUGGAGAUGCAACCCAGAGCCUCCUGAACUCUAGGAUAAGAAUUCUACCAACCGAGCUACGUGCUCAGCCCCGGCCAGUCAGAAUCUGGGGAGGCUUAAAAGAAAAAUCACUGAAGAGAAAGGGAAACGUCCAGUUAGCCAUCUCCAUCCAACUGCAAAGGGAGAACGGACUGAGAAGUUUGAGGGAAGGUUGCUCUAUAUGAGGUCCAUCGUCUCAUGGACAAAAGGGUGGCUGGUGUUCCUCACACUAGGCUGUAUCACCAGCUCUGCCAGGUACUUCAACAGGGAAUUAUGGGUUCUGUGAAUGCCCGAGGCAAGGAGACACAGUGGAUGGAAUGCUAUUCUGAGAGCCAGGACAUGCCAAGUCCAGCCUUGUGACUUGGAAAGGCACGAAGCCCACUGGAAGCCAUGUAGCCUCCCUCCGUCUCUAAGAUAGUGCCAGUGACUUCUGAUAACAAGAGAGUGUGCACAGGUGUCACUGGUGUAAUGCAGAGUGGGUUGGGGCUAGCAAUGCUGACACUCCCAGUGACCGCCCCAGAGAGAAAGGGCUGAAGAUUCCCGGGGCCUGGCUUGGCUUGGCUUCUGUACUAACCUAUCAUGUCCCCGUCAUUCAGAACAGAGGCGAACCUGCAGCAGGUACCCACAAACCCUUGUCUGCUAAGCCAAUCAGUGAAGUGGGAAUUGAAACCUAAUGGAUCCUUUUAAGGUCUCAAAUAUUCCAGCUUACCCAUGAAGAACGUCCCAGACCUGCAGUCAGUGUUACCUGACCCUGAUUGCGACAUGGGGGCCCGGAGGGGUUUCCACCUGUGGGAGUGCCCAGAAUUGUGUCAAAACCAAGCCAAAGUUGCUCAGAUGAAAAUAGUAACUCAUACAGCCACUAAGGGCUGAAGAAGAAAUCUUCCUGAGAUGAGCCCUAAGACCUGUCUGUGUGUCCCUGAGUCAGAGGAUGGCUCUGAGGGCUAGUGGAAAGGCUGGAGAACAGCAAAGGAUCUGAGCUGGAUCAGACUGUGAGCUUCCACCCCACCCCCACCCCAGGACUGGCCGAUGUGGCCAGAUCCUCCCCUCUCUAGGUCUCAGGAGGUUCCUUCUUAUGUAAAGCAGGAAGAACACAGCACAUGGCUCUCAGCUGUUCCCUGAGGACACCGACAUCCUGGGUCUGUGGGACUCCUCACCAUGAUGAUUCAGCUUCUCCAAGCAAACCCAUGGCACUCUGCCCUGUCUCUGGCAGCUGUGUUGCCAACAGGAGGCAGGAAGGCGAACGGGCUGGUCCUGAGGCUACCAGCAGCACCCUUGGCCUGCUGUUGGACGCAUGAGGAACCAGACUCCCUUAAGGCCAAUGAACUCCUGGCCUGGGAGCAGAGGGCCAAGCUGUUAAAUUGCAGCAUUCCUAAUGGAAACCCAGAAAAAGCACAGGGACGGGAGUGCGGCUAACAUCCCCCUGUAUGCUGCCUGUCUUCCGUGCUCCCUCCACCCCAGAAGAUAUCCACAAGGUCUCUGGAGGCCUACUUCAUGGACUGUAUUCACAACACCUCUUCUUUAGUACGCGCUUGCCAAGCGUGACUCAGCGAGACAACACUGCCUAAUCGGCCUGGCAGCUAGGUGUGGCCAUGUGAUGGUGUUCAGGCAGGGGUGUGAAUGGAAGGGACACGUGCGGCUCCCACGUCAUCGCUCAUCCCAACUUCACACAAGCCCCACUCAAUCUGGCCCAGCAACCCCUGACUGCCAUUUUCUUCUAGACUGGAACACAGUCUCCAACCUACUUUUGACGGUGUGUGUGUGUGUGUGUGUGUGUGUGUGUGUGUGUGUGUGUGUGUGUGUGUGUGUGUGUGUGUGUGAAGAGAAUGGCCUCAGGUAGCAUAGCAGGACCAUGAAGGCAAGACUGCUACCAACCUAAACCAGCCACAUGGGGACUAUCGCACAGAAGAGGUGAACUCCUUCUGAAAGCCACCCUACCCCGUGACUGUGACAGUAUCUCAAGCUUGACCCUCACUGGCAAGCUGCAAGCAGAGAGUUUUCCAGGAGUCUGCAGGUAGCAGCCUUCCCUCCCCCGGUCCCACUUUGUCUUCCUUCUCCUUUCUCCUCUUUUCUGUGAACAGCACACAAAGCCAGGGAAGGCAGGCGUGGCUGGGGAGAGAAGACACGAAAGCCUUUCCAGACACUGCCGAAGGCUUCUGGGCAGUAGUCCUGACAAGAGCUGGGACCGAGCCCAGAGACAAAGCAGACAUGGAGUUCAUGAAGGAAGGAAGCUCACGGUGGCUGAACUCUGCAGGUGGGGAGACAGGGCCCUGAGGAAAGAGAACAUGGGCUCUGCAAAGUAUCAAGGGAUGAAGCACAGUGUGAGAACAAGCAGAGCUCAGGCCUCAGAGAACCCAAAGCCUAGGGUCUUCAGGACUUCAUGUGACGGUUCUGAGUAACUUGGACUUGAAUUCCUCACCUUCGAGACAAGGACGGUGUGAGCUACUUCUUGGGCACUGUGUAGACUCAAUAAUUCGGUCAUCUAAAAGGUCAGUGAAGCAAUUCUCCAUUGCCUGUCCAGGCCUGGAUGGAGGGAAAGCAAGAAUCUGGGAGCCCCCAACUCACACACACAGUGCCAAUCCCCUGCAGCCAGGGGAGAUGAGACCAUCAGUUAUUUGUCAAGUGUCUUGAGGCAUCAGGCUCAAGGCUGGGUGCUUCACUGGAGUUCGUCCCAGGAAAGUGACUUGUGACCAGACACAGACCCUGACCCAAGCUGCAUUCCAACCCUAUCUACAAAUACCGUGCACAGAAGCUCAGCUUUUCUCUCCUGGGCUUGGAAGACUAAACACCAACUCUGUGCCCUUUGGGGUGACACUCUGGGCUAUUCUGUGAAGGAUUCCAGAGAUGGGACCACACGCAUGAAGGCAAGGGCCCCCUUUCUCUGUUCAGUGGCCUCUGGAGACUCUGGUCAGGGCUGACAAGACAACAGCAGAGAGACUGAAUGUUCUCCUUACCUAAAGGUCUUUGCCUCAUGUGAGAGCCAAGGCCCAGCCUUCUCUGGAGGCUGUCAGCAAGCAUAGGCUAGCCCGGGCCAAUUCAGAAAUCUUCUUCCUGGGCUAACAGAACUCCAGUACUUCCAAACAGCAAAAGUCAGGCCUUCAAGAAUGACCACCCCACAGGUUCCUCAUGAGGUUGAGGACUGAGUGAGUGAGGGGUCUUUAGAAGGCAGGCCAAGCAGAGUCCCUGAGGAGGGACGUGGAUGUGGUUCUGCCCAUCAAGUCUCCAGGUCUUCUGGACUUUUUUCCUCCUUCAUAUCUAUAGCCCAAAAACAUGUAAAACAAGCCACCAGACGAUCUGGGACAAGAUCCCUUAUCCGUCCCAGGCAAAGCGUGUACUGCCUUCUGUUGGCCUUGCUGCAGAACCUGGGCUCCUUGACUCCUCAGCCAUGAAGGGCAUCUGUUUGCCGACAUGACGCUGUCUGCUGACUCUCGUCCACGAGUCUCUGUCUCUCUGCUCCUGAAAGUCACGCUUCAGUGCUAGCCUAACACCCCUUCUUACCUCUCAGUUUGCCCUCCUGUGUCCUGACAGAGGGCUCUGCAGCCUGAGAAACCCACCCUGGCUGUUGUGAGUUUCCGUCAGAGAAGACUGCUCAGACACAGGUUUAAGCCAAUAGGAAGUCUUUAUUGGCAAGCGGUUGACUACCAUGGGUGUUUGGGAUCCCAGUAUAGCCCUGAACUUUUCUCAGGGUGAGUUUUUAAGCACAAAACCCACGUUCUGGGUUGACAUACUUCAAUGAACAAGAACAGCUAGCCAGAAGUGGAACUACAAAAGCCAGGAUUCUAUGAAUUUUGGUGGAUUAGGCCUUUGUCUUGGCAGGUGGUAGUACUGUCUGUGUGCUGAGUUUUACAGCUUGAAUGGUAUUCCAUCAUGGAGUCAGUCCUGCUAAGGUCUGGGCCUAUGGUAAUCCUAGCCAUCCGCCAUCCUCCCGUCUGCUGAGCUUUUAAAAGCAGCACACACACUCCAGUGUGCAGGAAAUAACAUAACAAUGCCCCAUGGGGAGGUGCUAGGGUCCAAGAUAGGAAACAAACCCUAAACUCUUAUGUUGAAGGUUUGGUAACUAGAUGGCAGUGCUAUUGACAGGUUAUUAGGACCGUGAUGGCACUAACUUCAUCAAUGGAUCAGCCGUUGGUGUGUUAGUAGCCACUGAUGAGUUUCUGAUCAGGCCCUCUGGAAGUAGAGACUGGUCAGAGAAAGCAGGUCACUGGCACAUGCCUGUAAAGGGUGUGUCUUGUCCCCCCCCCCCCACCUUCCUACCUGCCUUCCCUGGAGGGACACCGUCAUGUCUCUAUCGUGCCUUUCUGCCAUGACUCGCCACAUGGGCCUAAAGGCAAAGAAGACAGCUAGCUAUCCAAGGACUGAAACCAAGAGUCAAUAAAUACUUCCUUCCUUGCGUAUA